rnacentral:rRNA from 1 species
UUAAGCGACUAAGCGUACACGGUGGAUGCCCUGGCAGUCAGAGGCGAUGAAGGACGUGCUAAUCUGCGAUAAGCGUCGGUAAGGUGAUAUGAACCGUUAUAACCGGCGAUUUCCGAAUGGGGAAACCCAGUGUGUUUCGACACACUAUCAUUAACUGAAUCCAUAGGUUAAUGAGGCGAACCGGGGGAACUGAAACAUCUAAGUACCCCGAGGAAAAGAAAUCAACCGAGAUUCCCCCAGUAGCGGCGAGCGAACGGGGAGCAGCCCAGAGCCUGAAUCAGUGUGUGUGUUAGUGGAAGCGUCUGGAAAGGCGUGCGAUACAGGGUGACAGCCCCGUACACAAAAAUGCACAUGCUGUGAGCUCGAUGAGUAGGGCGGGACACGUGGUAUCCUGUCUGAAUAUGGGGGGACCAUCCUCCAAGGCUAAAUACUCCUGACUGACCGAUAGUGAACCAGUACCGUGAGGGAAAGGCGAAAAGAACCCCGGCGAGGGGAGUGAAAAAGAACCUGAAACCGUGUACGUACAAGCAGUGGGAGCACAGAGCAAUCUGUGUGACUGCGUACCUUUUGUAUAAUGGGUCAGCGACUUAUAUUCUGUAGCAAGGUUAACCGAAUAGGGGAGCCGAAGGGAAACCGAGUCUUAACUGGGCGUUAAGUUGCAGGGUAUAGACCCGAAACCCGGUGAUCUAGCCAUGGGCAGGUUGAAGGUUGGGUAACACUAACUGGAGGACCGAACCGACUAAUGUUGAAAAAUUAGCGGAUGACUUGUGGCUGGGGGUGAAAGGCCAAUCAAACCGGGAGAUAGCUGGUUCUCCCCGAAAGCUAUUUAGGUAGCGCCUCGUGAAUUCAUCUCCGGGGGUAGAGCACUGUUUCGGCAAGGGGGUCAUCCCGACUUACCAACCCGAUGCAAACUGCGAAUACCGGAGAAUGUUAUCACGGGAGACACACGGCGGGUGCUAACGUCCGUCGUGAAGAGGGAAACAACCCAGACCGCCAGCUAAGGUCCCAAAGUCAUGGUUAAGUGGGAAACGAUGUGGGAAGGCCCAGACAGCCAGGAUGUUGGCUUAGAAGCAGCCAUCAUUUAAAGAAAGCGUAAUAGCUCACUGGUCGAGUCGGCCUGCGCGGAAGAUGUAACGGGGCUAAACCAUGCACCGAAGCUGCGGCAGCGACACUAUGUGUUGUUGGGUAGGGGAGCGUUCUGUAAGCCUGUGAAGGUGUACUGUGAGGUAUGCUGGAGGUAUCAGAAGUGCGAAUGCUGACAUAAGUAACGAUAAAGCGGGUGAAAAGCCCGCUCGCCGGAAGACCAAGGGUUCCUGUCCAACGUUAAUCGGGGCAGGGUGAGUCGACCCCUAAGGCGAGGCCGAAAGGCGUAGUCGAUGGGAAACAGGUUAAUAUUCCUGUACUUGGUGUUACUGCGAAGGGGGGACGGAGAAGGCUAUGUUGGCCGGGCGACGGUUGUCCCGGUUUAAGCGUGUAGGCUGGUUUUCCAGGCAAAUCCGGAAAAUCAAGGCUGAGGCGUGAUGACGAGGCACUACGGUGCUGAAGCAACAAAUGCCCUGCUUCCAGGAAAAGCCUCUAAGCAUCAGGUAACAUCAAAUCGUACCCCAAACCGACACAGGUGGUCAGGUAGAGAAUACCAAGGCGCUUGAGAGAACUCGGGUGAAGGAACUAGGCAAAAUGGUGCCGUAACUUCGGGAGAAGGCACGCUGAUAUGUAGGUGAAGCGACUUGCUCGUGGAGCUGAAAUCAGUCGAAGAUACCAGCUGGCUGCAACUGUUUAUUAAAAACACAGCACUGUGCAAACACGAAAGUGGACGUAUACGGUGUGACGCCUGCCCGGUGCCGGAAGGUUAAUUGAUGGGGUUAGCGCAAGCGAAGCUCUUGAUCGAAGCCCCGGUAAACGGCGGCCGUAACUAUAACGGUCCUAAGGUAGCGAAAUUCCUUGUCGGGUAAGUUCCGACCUGCACGAAUGGCGUAAUGAUGGCCAGGCUGUCUCCACCCGAGACUCAGUGAAAUUGAACUCGCUGUGAAGAUGCAGUGUACCCGCGGCAAGACGGAAAGACCCCGUGAACCUUUACUAUAGCUUGACACUGAACAUUGAGCCUUGAUGUGUAGGAUAGGUGGGAGGCUUUGAAGUGUGGACGCCAGUCUGCAUGGAGCCGACCUUGAAAUACCACCCUUUAAUGUUUGAUGUUCUAACGUUGACCCGUAAUCCGGGUUGCGGACAGUGUCUGGUGGGUAGUUUGACUGGGGCGGUCUCCUCCUAAAGAGUAACGGAGGAGCACGAAGGUUGGCUAAUCCUGGUCGGACAUCAGGAGGUUAGUGCAAUGGCAUAAGCCAGCUUGACUGCGAGCGUGACGGCGCGAGCAGGUGCGAAAGCAGGUCAUAGUGAUCCGGUGGUUCUGAAUGGAAGGGCCAUCGCUCAACGGAUAAAAGGUACUCCGGGGAUAACAGGCUGAUACCGCCCAAGAGUUCAUAUCGACGGCGGUGUUUGGCACCUCGAUGUCGGCUCAUCACAUCCUGGGGCUGAAGUAGGUCCCAAGGGUAUGGCUGUUCGCCAUUUAAAGUGGUACGCGAGCUGGGUUUAGAACGUCGUGAGACAGUUCGGUCCCUAUCUGCCGUGGGCGCUGGAGAACUGAGGGGGGCUGCUCCUAGUACGAGAGGACCGGAGUGGACGCAUCACUGGUGUUCGGGUUGUCAUGCCAAUGGCACUGCCCGGUAGCUAAAUGCGGAAGAGAUAAGUGCUGAAAGCAUCUAAGCACGAAACUUGCCCCGAGAUGAGUUCUCCCUGACCCUUUAAGGGUCCUGAAGGAACGUUGAAGACGACGACGUUGAUAGGCCGGGUGUGUAAGCGCAGCGAUGCGUUGAGCUAACCGGUACUAAUGAACCGUGAGGCUUAACCU